rnacentral:rRNA from 1 species
UACGUAGGGUGCAAGCGUUGUCCGGAAUUAUUGGGCGUAAAGGGCGCGUAGGUGGCACGGGUAGUCGUCGGUGAAAGCUCAGGGCUCAACCCUGAGUCGGCCGGUGAUACUCCCGAGCUCGAGUGUGGUAGAGGCCAAUGGAAUUCCGGGUGUAGCGGUGGAAUGCGUAGAGAUCCGGAAGAACACCGGUGGCGAAGGCGGUUGGCUGGGCCACAACUGACACUGAUGCGCGACAGCGUGGGGAGCAAACAGG